rnacentral:rRNA from 1 species
UACAGAGGGUGCUAGCGUUGUUCGGAAUCAUUGGGCGUAAAGGGCGUGUAGGCGGUUUGUUAAGUCAUGUGUGAAAUCCCUCGGCUCAACCGGGGAAGGACGCAUGAAACUGGCAAGCUAGAGUACCAAAGAGGGGGGUGGAAUUCCCGGUGUAGCGGUGAAAUGCGCAGAUAUCAGGAGGAACACCGAUGGCGAAGGCAGCGCUGGGACGGUACUGCGCUGAGGCGCGAAAGCUGGGG